CACCUGCUGCAGCCCGAAGCGCCCAAAGGUGCGCAGCCGCACACACUCCAGCAGCGUCUUCAGGCUGAUCUUGAUGAUGCCAGUCAGCACCGACACCUGCAGACAGGUAAAAUAGGGGCGAAGAUGUCAUAAUCCUGGGCUGAAGAGGAACAAGACCGUGGACAUAGGCACUGCCCAGCCCCUUUCGUCUUCAUCCUUGGAGACUUGUUCCCCCGGGGUUCCCUCAGGGACGCCCUGGCUACAGAACUGGCCCCGUAAGAAGCCCAGAUACACAUGUCUCCUCCUCCAGGCAGAGACUGCUAGUGAUCCUCUGCUUCCCCAGCCCCUCUUGAAGGGACAGCACCCCCAGCCUGCGUCAGGGCUCCCCCAGACAGCCUGGGCAGCACCUGCACGUCGAUGGCGGUGGUAUCCUCCACCACCCGCUUCAUGACGGCCCGCACAUUACGGGGCUCCAGAGUGCUGAGCCAGUCCCGAGUCUCCACGCUCUUGCGCAGCAUCUGUGAUAUGACCAGGCCCUGCACCUUCACGUAGUGGGUCAGCAGCCGCCGUGCCGUUUCCCUGGCCUCUGCACACAGUGUGCUCACGGGCGUCACUGGGAACUGAUCCUGAGCCAAAGAGGCAGAGGACAGAGGGAGUGGGUAUGGGGGUACAGCUCAGGGGCCACUGCCAACCAGGAGCUGGGCACAGAUUGGGCAAGGUGGAGGCUGGGGUACACACAGGCAGCUGGUCCAGGGUCUGGCCAGGAGGGCACUGUCCAGCCACCUGCAUUCCCCGAACCACCAUUCCCUGCCCGACUAGGAGCUAGUGCUUCACCUGCACCAGAAACUGUUCAUCAGUGAGAGUGAGGAUGUAGGAGAUGGUAGCCGUCUCAUAGUCCAGGCAGAGGCGGGAGAGCAGCAGGAGCAGGGCAGGUGGUGUGGCACCCCCUUUCUCCCCAGGGCUGUCGCAGAAGCUCUGAGCCGUCUGGCACAUAGAGCGGAUGAAGCCCACGAUGAGGCCCUCACGGACACCCUGACUGCAGAACUCACCCUGCAAGGAGAAGGUGCCCAGGUCCACAGCAGGUCCCCUCUUCCAGGUAGGGCUGUUAAUGACCCUCUGCUGGGGCUCUAAGUGCUCCAGCCCCCUCUGCAAGGGACAGCAUCAUCCUGCUUUCUAAGUACCCUGUAGCAGCUUCCCUGAGUGGGGGUAGAGAAAGCCAACACUGGGGACCUCACCAUGCCUGCUUCUCAGGGCACUCAGCCCAGCUGCAGAUGCCCCGAACCUUACCCACCCCCCAGACUGUGCAUAAGAACCUGAAACCACACCCAGAGUGCCUGGUUUCCCCAGUUUCCCAAGCACUGGUAUAAAAGGUUUUGGAGGGUCAACCAGCAGGUUGAACAAGGAACACCCAAGAGGAGGCGUACCCGGAAGUAGGGUUUGUUGGAGAAGGACAC